rnacentral:rRNA from 1 species
UACAGAGGGGGCAAGCGUUAUUCGGAAUUAUUGGGCGUAAAGAGCUCGUAGGCGGCUUGUCGCGUCGGAUGUGAAAGCCCGGGGCUUAACUCCGGGUCUGCAUUCGAUACGGGCAGGCUAGAGUUCGGUAGGGGAGAUCGGAAUUCCUGGUGUAGCGGUGAAAUGACGCAGAUAUCAGGAGGAACACCGGUGGCGAAGGCGGAUCUCUGGGCCGAUACUGACGCUGAGGAGCGAAAGCGUGGGGAGCGAACAGG